rnacentral:rRNA from 1 species
CUCAGAUUGAACGCUGGCGGCAGGCCUAACACAUGCAAGUCGAACGGUAGCACAGAGAGCUUGCUCUCGGGUGACGAGUGGCGGACGGGUGAGUAAUGUCUGGGAAACUGCCUGAUGGAGGGGGAUAACUACUGGAAACGGUGGCUAAUACCGCAUAACGUCGCAAGACCAAAGAGGGGGACCUUCGGGCCUCUUGCCAUCAGAUGUGCCCAGAUGGGAUUAGCUUGUUGGUGAGGUAACGGCUCACCAAGGCGACGAUCCCUAGCUGGUCUGAGAGGAUGACCAGCCACACUGGAACUGAGACACGGUCCAGACUCCUACGGGAGGCAGCAGUGGGGAAUAUUGCACAAUGGGCGCAAGCCUGAUGCAGCCAUGCCGCGUGUAUGAAGAAGGCCUUCGGGUUGUAAAGUACUUUCAGCGGGGAGGAAGGUGUUGUGGUUAAUAACCGCAGCAAUUGACGUUACCCGCAGAAGAAGCACCGGCUAACUCCGUGCCAGCAGCCGCGGUAAUACGGAGGGUGCAAGCGUUAAUCGGAAUUACUGGGCGUAAAGCGCACGCAGGCGGUCUGUCAAGUCGGAUGUGAAAUCCCCGGGCUCAACCUGGGAACUGCAUUCGAAACUGGCAGGCUUGAGUCUUGUAGAGGGGGGUAGAAUUCCAGGUGUAGCGGUGAAAUGCGUAGAGAUCUGGAGGAAUACCGGUGGCGAAGGCGGCCCCCUGGACAAAGACUGACGCUCAGGUGCGAAAGCGUGGGGAGCAAACAGGAUUAGAUACCCUGGUAGUCCACGCCGUAAACGAUGUCUACUUGGAGGUUGUGCCCUUGAGGCGUGGCUUCCGGAGCUAACGCGUUAAGUAGACCGCCUGGGGAGUACGGCCGCAAGGUUAAAACUCAAAUGAAUUGACGGGGGCCCGCACAAGCGGUGGAGCAUGUGGUUUAAUUCGAUGCAACGCGAAGAACCUUACCUGGUCUUGACAUCCACAGAAGAAUCCAGAGAUGGAUUUGUGCCUUCGGGAACUGUGAGACAGGUGCUGCAUGGCUGUCGUCAGCUCGUGUUGUGAAAUGUUGGGUUAAGUCCCGCAACGAGCGCAACCCUUAUCCUUUGUUGCCAGCGGUCCGGCCGGGAACUCAAAGGAGACUGCCAGUGAUAAACUGGAGGAAGGUGGGGAUGACGUCAAGUCAUCAUGGCCCUUACGACCAGGGCUACACACGUGCUACAAUGGCGCAUACAAAGAGAAGCGACCUCGCGAGAGCAAGCGGACCUCAUAAAGUGCGUCGUAGUCCGGAUUGGAGUCUGCAACUCGACUCCAUGAAGUCGGAAUCGCUAGUAAUCGUGGAUCAGAAUGCCACGGUGAAUACGUUCCCGGGCCUUGUACACACCGCCCGUCACACCAUGGGAGUGGGUUGCAAAAGAAGUAGGUAGCUUAACCUUCGGGAGGGCGCUUACCACUUUGUGAUUCAUGACUGGGGUGAAGUCGUAACAAGGUAACCGUAGGGGAACCUGC